UACGUAGGGUGCAAGCGUUGUCCGGAAUUAUUGGGCGUAAAGAGCUCGUAGGCGGUCUGUCACGUCGGCUGUGAAAACCCGAGGCUCAACCUCGGGCCUGCAGUCGAUACGGGCAAACUAGAGUACUGCAGGGGAGACUGGAAUUCCUGGUGUAGCGGUGAAAUGCGCAGAUAUCAGGAGGAACACCAGUGGCGAAGGCGGGUCUCUGGGCAGUAACUGACGCUGAGGCGCGACAGCGUGGGGAGCAAACAGG
rnacentral:rRNA from 1 species